UUUUGGACAAGAUUGGAGAUUCUGAAGCACUUUGGAAGUUGGGGAGAGUUGGAUCGGAAAACAUCAAGUCAGAGUCGAUAUUUUGGCCUGGUGUCGAUCACACCAAUCGUAGUAAUCACUUCUCAACGAGUUUUUAAAGAAUUUUCAAGAAUUGAAUACAGGCCCAAAGUUUCCAUUAUUUUCAAAAAAUCCGCUUCGUGUUUUAGACUUUAUCAGGUUUAUGAAAUUUUGUAAUUCCUUCUUUAGAAUUAAAGAGAGAGGUUUCUUUAUAGCUUUUGGAGAUAAAAUCAGAACUCGGUAGAGAGUAGAUUUUGAACUCCCUUAUUACUUUAUUGAGUUCUUAAUGCAUUGUAUUUAUUCAUUGAUUUGGGUUUCUGUUAUCAUGUUUGAGUAACGUACUUGUUAAAUUUAGUGUAUUUCUAGGGUUUAUGAAUUGUUAAAUUGAUAGAAUUUUAGGCUAAAAUUAUAUCUUCAUCUUGAUUGAUCUUAAUGCUAGUUCUAGAUUGACAACCUAGAAUCUAGAUCUUAAGAUAGUUAGUAGACACAAAGUGUUAUUGAUUGGCUGGAUUAAUUUUAUAUGAACAAAAUACCUAUUUGCAAAGAGAUUUUGUUUAUGAAUUUUGUGAAUUUAUCAAACUUGUGUUGAAUGAUUGUCUGAACUAUUGAAUUAGCAAAGAGAUUUGAAAUUUUAGGAUCUAGACAUAGAUAGUCUAUGCAACGAAAGUUGAUUGACUUGAAUACUGUAAUUUGAGUUCAAGAAUGUUCUUCAUAUAACCCUUAGUAAUCUAUCUGGUAUGCAAUUUUUA
rnacentral:lncRNA from 1 species